GACCACUCUGGUGGCCUGGUGGUUAGAAUAUCCGCCUCGGAUGCGGGAGGUCUGGGGUUCCAACCCCGGCCAAGUCA